rnacentral:rRNA from 1 species
GACGAACGCUGGCGGCGUGCUUAACACAUGCAAGUCGAACGAUGAAGCCUAGCUUGCUAGGUGGAUUAGUGGCGAACGGGUGAGUAAUACGUGAGUAACCUACCUUUAACUCUGGGAUAAGCCUGGGAAACUGGGUCUAAUACCGGAUACGACCAAUCUCCGCAUGGGGUGUUGGUGGAAAGCGUUAUGUAGUGGUUAUAGAUGGGCUCACGGCCUAUCAGCUUGUUGGUGAGGUAACGGCUCACCAAGGCGACGACGGGUAGCCGGCCUGAGAGGGUGACCGGCCACACUGGGACUGAGACACGGCCCAGACUCCUACGGGAGGCAGCAGUGGGGAAUAUUGCACAAUGGGCGCAAGCCUGAUGCAGCGACGCCGCGUGAGGGAUGACGGCCUUCGGGUUGUAAACCUCUGUUAGCAGGGAAGAAGAGAGAUUGACGGUACCUGCAGAGAAAGCGCCGGCUAACUACGUGCCAGCAGCCGCGGUAAUACGUNAGGCGCGAGCGUUGUCCGGAAUUAUUGGGCGUAAAGAGCUUGUAGGCGGUUUGUCGCGUCUGCUGUGAAGGCCGGAGCUUAACUCCGUGUAUUGCAGUGGGUACGGGCAGACUAGAGUGCAGUAGGGGAGACUGGAAUUCCUGGUGUAGCGGUGGAAUGCGCAGAUAUCAGGAGGAACACCGAUGGCGAAGGCAGGUCUCUGGGCUGUAACUGACGCUGAGAAGCGAAAGCAUGGGGAGCGAACAGGAUUAGAUACCCUGGUAGUCCAUGCCGUAAACGUUGGGCACUAGGUGUGGGGAACAUUCCACGUUUUCCGCGCCGUAGCUAACGCAUUAAGUGCCCCGCCUGGGGAGUACGGCCGCAAGGCUAAAACUCAAAGAAAUUGACGGGGGCCCGCACAAGCGGCGGAGCAUGCGGAUUAAUUCGAUGCAACGCGAAGAACCUUACCAAGGCUUGACAUAUACUGGACCGCAUCAGAGAUGGUGUUUCCCUUCGGGGCUGGUAUACAGGUGGUGCAUGGUUGUCGUCAGCUCGUGUCGUGAGAUGUUGGGUUAAGUCCCGCAACGAGCGCAACCCUCGUUCUAUGUUGCCAGCACGUUAUGGUGGGGACUCAUAGGAGACUGCCGGGGUCAACUCGGAGGAAGGUGGGGAUGACGUCAAAUCAUCAUGCCCCUUAUGUCUUGGGCUUCACGCAUGCUACAAUGGCCGGUACAGAGGGUUGCGAUACUGUGAGGUGGAGCUAAUCCCUAAAAGCCGGUCUCAGUUCGGAUUGGGGUCUGCAACUCGACCCCAUGAAGUCGGAGUCGCUAGUAAUCGCAGAUCAGCAACGCUGCGGUGAAUACGUUCCCGGGCCU